rnacentral:lncRNA from 1 species
AGCAUGUGCCCUGCAAGCCCGGCACCGCCUGCGUGAUGGUGCACGGCCAUCCCUCGUGCGUCUCUCGGCCCUCGUGCAAGAACCUCCACUGCCAGGCGGGGACGGGCUGCAAGAUCCUCAACGGGUGGCCCCGGUGCGUCCGCAUCCCCUCGUGCCAGGACCUGCGGUGCCGAGGCGACACGGCGUGCCGGCUGGUGCAGGGGUGGCCCAAGUGCGUGCGCAUGGUGAGGAGUCCCCCGUCGGCGCCGCCRCUUUGCUCUGGCGUCCUCUGCAAGGCUGGGACCGUCUGCCGCAGCGUGGAGGGCGUCGCCCGUUGCGUGGCCCCCAAGCCCUCCUGCGACGGCGUCCGCUGCCCGCCGGGGACGGCGUGCCAGGUGGCCAAGGGUUGGCCUCAGUGCAUGCCCAGCCAGCCCACGUGCGCCACGGUGCACUGCUCGGAAGGCACCACGUGCCGGAUGGUGGAGGGUUGGCCCAAGUGCAUGCCCAACAAGCCCACGUGCGACACCGUCCGGUGCCCCGUGGGCACCACGUGCCAGAUGGUGGACAACUGGCCCAAAUGCGUCCCCAACAAGCUCUCCUGUGAAUCCAUCCGGUGUCCGGCCGGGACCACGUGCCAAAUAGUGGAGAACUGGCCCAAAUGCGUCCCCAACAAGCCGUCCUGCAACGACAUGCAUUGCCCAGCAGGGACCACGUGCCAGAUGGUGGACAACUGGCCCAAAUGCGUCCCCAACAAGCCGUCCUGCAACGACAUGCAUUGCCCAGCAGGAACCACGUGCCAGAUGGUGGAGAACUGGCCCAAAUGCGUCCCCAACAAGCCAUCCUGCAAUGACAUGCAUUGCCCGGUGGGCACCACCUGCCAGAUGGUGGAGGACUGGCCCAAAUGCGUCCCCAACAUGCCAUCUUGUAAAGGUAUGCAUUGCCCGGCAGGGACCACGUGCCGGAUGGUGGAGAAAUGGCCCAAAUGCGUCCCCAACAAGCCGUCUUGCAAAGACACGCAUUGCCCGGUGGGGACCGUGUGCAGCGUCGUAGAUGGCUGGCCCAAAUGCGUCCCCAACAAGCCAUCUUGCAACGACGCGCAUUGCCCGAAGGGGACCACGUGCCACAUGGUGGAAACCUCACCCAAGUGCCUGCCCAACAAGCCGUCUUGCAACGACGUGCGUUGCCCAGCGGGGACCACGUGCCACGUGGUGGAAAACUCCCCCGAGUGCCUCCCCGCCUCGCAGCUCCCGCUCGUCUGCCACGUCUCGGGACGCUCGCGCUUCCGCGCCUUCGACGGGAAGAGCCACGGCUUUCCCGGGCCGUGCGCCCGCACGCUGGUGACCGUCUGCAGCACCCACCACCAGCCCCCUGCCCUCCGCGUGGCCGUGGGGAGCGAGAAGGCGCCGACCGACUCCUUCGGCCACGUCGCGCUCCACGGUGACGGCUACGAGGUCGUCCUGCUCCGAGGAGAGGAAGGCAAGGUGAAAGAAAGAGAAGGAACGAAUGANNNNNNNNNNNNNNNNNNNNNNNNNNNNNNNNNNNNNN